CCUACGGGUGGCAGCAGUGGGGGAUAUUGCACAAUGGGGGGAACCCUGAUGCAGCGACGCCGCGUGAGCGAUGGAGUACUUCGGUAUGUAAAGCUCUUUCAGCAGGGAGGAAAAAGACGGUACCUGACUAAGAAGCCCCGUCUAACUACGUGCCAGCAGCCGCGGUAAUACGUCGGGGGCAAGCGUUAUCCGGAUUUACUGGGUGUAAAGGGGGCGUAGACGGCAAGGCAAGCCAGAAGUGAAAGGGCAGGGGUCAACCCUGUACAUGCUUUUGGAACUGUGGGGCUAGAGUUCAGGAGAGGUAAGUGGAAUUUGUGGUGUAGCGGUGAAAUGCAUAGAGAUUAGGAGGAACACCAGUGGCGAAGGCGGCUUACUGGACUGCAACUGACGUUGAGGCUCGAAAGCGUGGGGAGCAAACAGGAUUAGAUACCCGGGUAGUC
rnacentral:rRNA from 1 species